AUACGUAGGUGGCGAGCGUUAUCCGGAUUUACUGGGUGUAAAGGGCGUGUAGGCGGGUUUGCAAGUCGGAUGUGAAAUUCCCGGGCUUAACUCGGGCGGGUCAUCCGAAACUGCAGAUCUUGAGUACUGGAGAGGAUAGUGGAAUUCCUAGUGUAGCGGUAAAAUGCGUAGAUAUUAGGAGGAACACCAGUGGCGAAGGCGGCUAUCUGGACAGUAACUGACGCUGAGGCGCGAAGGCGUGGGGAGC
rnacentral:rRNA from 1 species